UGAGGAAUAUUGGACAAUGGAGGAGACUCUGAUCCAGCCAUGCCGCGUGCAGGAAGAAUGCCCUAUGGGUAGUAAACUGCUUUUAUACGGGAAGAAAAAGGGCUACGUGUAGCCUACUGACGGUACCGUAAGAAUAAGGACCGGCUAACUCCGUGCCAGCAGCCGCGGUAAUACGGAGGGUCCGAGCGUUAUCCGGAAUUAUUGGGUUUAAAGGGUCCGUAGGCGGGCGAUUAAGUCAGUGGUGAAAGUCUGCAGCUCAACUGUAGAAUUGCCUUUGAUACUGGUCGUCUUGAGUUAUAGUGAAGUUGCCGGAAUAUGUAGUGUAGCGGUGAAAUGCAUAGAUAUUACAUAGAACACCGAUUGCGAAGGCAGGUGACUAACUAUAUACUGACGCUGAUGGACGAAAGCGUGGGGAGCGAACA
rnacentral:rRNA from 1 species